rnacentral:misc_RNA from 1 species
AAAAUGCGAUAAGUAAUGUGAAUUGCAGAAUUCAGUGAAUCAUCGAAUCUUUGAACGCACACUGCGCCCGCCAGUAUUCUGGCGGGCAUGCCUGUUCGAGCGUCAUUUCAACCCUCAAGCCCCCGGGUUUGGUGUUGGGGAUCGGGCUGCGGUUCUACCGCGUCCCGGCCCCGAAAUCUAGUGGCGGUCUCGCUGCAGCCUCCAUUGCGUAGUAGCUAACACCUCGCAACUGGAACGCGGCGCGGCCAAGCCGUUAAACCCCCAACUUCUGAAUGUUGACCUCGGAUCAGGUAGGAAUACCCGCUGAACUUAAGC